UGGGGAAUAUUGCACAAUGGGCGCAAGCCUGAUGCAGCCAUGCCGCGUGUGUGAAGAAGGCCUUCGGGUUGUAAAGCACUUUCAGCGAGGAGGAAGGUGGUGAGCUUAAUACGCUCAUCAAUUGACGUUACUCGCAGAAGAAGCACCGGCUAACUCCGUGCCAGCAGCCGCGGUAAUACGGAGGGUGCAAGCGUUAAUCGGAAUUACUGGGCGUAAAGCGCACGCAGGCGGUUUGUUAAGUCAGAUGUGAAAUCCCCGGGCUCAACCUGGGAACUGCAUUUGAAACUGGCAAGCUAGAGUCUCGUAGAGGGGGGUAGAAUUCCAGGUGUAGCGGUGAAAUGCGUAGAGAUCUGGAGGAAUACCGGUGGCGAAGGCGGCCCCCUGGA
rnacentral:rRNA from 1 species